UACGAGGGGGGCAAGCGUUGUUCGGAAUUAUUGGGCGUAAAGGGUGCGUAGGCGGCGCGGUAUGUCUCUUGUGAAAUCUCCAGGCUCAACUUGGAGUCUGCAAGGGAAACUGCCGUGCUUGAGUACUGGAGAGGUGAGUGGAAUUCCCGGUGUAGCGGUGAAAUGCGUAGAUAUCGGGAGGGACACCUGUGGCGAAAGCGGCUCACUGGACAGUAACUGACGCUGAUGCACGAAAGCUAGGGGAGCAAACAGG
rnacentral:rRNA from 1 species